rnacentral:misc_RNA from 1 species
CGCGAAACAAACUAUGAAAAGAUUGCCGAUUUUAUUCGUCUUCAUUCUGUUACUGUCGACGGUUGUGGCUUUAAGAGGUGACCUCAGCACAUUGAAACAGCUGUUAUGCACCACAUGUGACAUAAAAAAAGAUAAACGUGACCAUCAAUGGGACAUUUGCGUCACUGGACGAGCGGAGGAACACAUCCGGCAAAUAUGACACGAUUUUGCUCGCUGAUCCAGGCCAUCCGGAGUAUGGGUAUGAGCAUCUUUUGUAUCAAGCGGAGGACAGCAGCUGUGGUGUCCUUUUGGUAGCCCUGAAUGAAGCUUAUAUGUGGCUCGAAAUACGGGUGAGGAAUUCUACUGUAGACAAGCCAGAUCAAACUUGCGUAAAAAGGUUCCGACAACUCUUACCAGUAUUGAAGGGCAAGCGAAGACUGGUGUACAACCGAGACUGUCAGCGAAUCCUUGACCAAAUAAAUGAAUGACGUAAGACGCACUGGAGCCACGAGUUCCCCGUGAAUACCAGUUUGCGGUAGUCAUGUCGUCAGCAGGCGCCCUCUCGGUGACAAAAUGCUACGAAAUGCAAUUUC